GGAACAAGAAGCCAAGUCAAAGCUAACCCUCCUAGAGGAUGAAGGUGCAAUUAGUGUUUGCUCUCGCACCGGAUGCAUAGUUGAAGGAAUCACCUCUGAUAUGGAAGGAACACUGGCAAGAUCAGGGGCCCCCGUGGUAGCCAUGAUCAUAUCUUCAAGCUUAGGUAAGACUGAGUGAGGAGAACUAAUCACAGACUGAGACCCAGACACUGAUUUAGUCAACCUAGCACUCUUUUGUCGAGGAGAAUUCUCUUAGGAAGGCUACGACUCAGAAACAUCCGAGGUCACUGGCUUCUUCAUCUUUUUCUUCUCUCUUUGGGGUGGCUCAGGCCUCUCUGAAUCAUGG
rnacentral:lncRNA from 1 species